rnacentral:rRNA from 1 species
AUUGAACGCUGGCGGCAUGCCUUACACAUGCAAGUCGAACGGCAGCACGGGAGCAAUCCUGGUGGCGAGUGGCGAACGGGUGAGUAAUAUAUCGGAACGUGCCCAGUCGUGGGGAUAACGUAGCGAAAGCUACGCUAAUACCGCAUACGAUCUAUGGAUGAAAGCGGGGGAUCGCAAGACCUCGCGCGAUUGGAGCGGCCGAUAUCAGAUUAGGUAGUUGGUGAGGUAAAGGCUCACCAAGCCAACGAUCUGUAGCUGGUCUGAGAGGACGACCAGCCACACUGGAACUGAGACACGGUCCAGACUCCUACGGGAGGCAGCAGUGGGGAAUUUUGGACAAUGGACGCAAGUCUGAUCCAGCCAUUCCGCGUGCAGGAUGAAGGCCCUCGGGUUGUAAACUGCUUUUGUACGGAACGAAACGGUGAGCUCUAAUACAGUUUGCUAAUGACGGUACCGUAAGAAUAAGC